CAUUACCUAGAGUUGUAGGCUUUGCCUGCUAUCUCUUACCCAUGUCUUUUGAGUACCUUCGUUUCCUCGGCGGGUCCGCCCGCCGAUUGGACAAUUUAAACCAUUUGCAGUUGCAAUCAGCGUCUGAAAAAACUUUAAUAGUUACAACUUUCAACAACGGAUCUCUUGGUUCUGGCAUCGAUGAAGAACGCAGCGAAAUGCGAUAAGUAGUGUGAAUUGCAGAAUUCAGUGAAUCAUCGAAUCUUUGAACGCACAUUGCGCCCCUUGGUAUUCCAUGGGGCAUGCCUGUUCGAGCGUCAUUUGUACCUUCAAGCUCUGCUUGGUGUUGGGUGUUUGUCUCGCCUCUGCGCGUAGACUCGCCUCAAAACAAUUGGCAGCCGGCGUAUUGAUUUCGGAGCGCAGUACAUCUCGCGCUUUGCAUUCAGAACGACGACGUCCAAAAGUACAUUUUUACACUCUUGACCUCGGAUCAGGUAGGGAUACCC
rnacentral:rRNA from 1 species